UACGAAGGGGGCUAGCGUUGCUCGGAAUCACUGGGCGUAAAGCGCACGUAGGCGGAUUGCUAAGUCAGGGGUGAAAUCCUGGAGCUCAACUCCAGAACUGCCUUUUGAUACUGGCGACCUUGAGUCCGGGAGAGGUGAGUGGAACUCCUAGUGUAGAGGUGGAAUUCGUAGAUAUUAGGAAGAACACCAGUGGCGAAGGCGGCGAUCUGGGAAGAUACUGACGCUGAGGUGGCGAAAAGCGUGGGGAGCAAACAGG
rnacentral:rRNA from 1 species